UCCAGCCUAAGCUACAGAGUGAGACUCCAUCUGAAAAAAAAAAAAGAGAGAAAAGAAAAGAAAGAAGAGGAAGGGCUACUGCACUCUGGACUCAGUGCCCUCCUUGGUCUCACACCCUUGCUGACCUCCCUCCUGGCACAUGAGGUCUUCAUGCUGCUCAGGCCCAUGGCUGACCUCCUCUCCUCUGGAGUGGUCCAUCCCUACCAGAUCUCCUCCUGUCCAGCUGAGCAGACCAGGCCUAUACAGGCUGCUUCUGGCUCCACUGAGGCCCAGGAGCUUACACCUUUGGACCGGGUGUCAAAAGUGUCCUUCUUAUUAGCAAAAAGAAUUUUGGAGGGAAAAACAAAUGACAUCCUCAGACAUCCUAGGGCAGAGUCAGAAGCAGAGAGGAGACUGAAUGGGCUCGGGUGGGUGUGGAAGGUCACUGCAGGCCGCCAUAGGACAGGCCUGGGCUCACAGGAGCAGGAUGUGGGGAGGGGGAUUGCCAGGCAGGGGUGGGGACCAAAGUGAAGGCCACCUGGUGGGAGCCAGUCAGAGGGGUGGGGCAGGGUUAGAUCACAAGGGAAUCCAAUGCCAGGGGGCCAGGGGAUGUUUUGCAAUGUGGGCAACUGAACCUGAGAUGUGACAAGACCAGUGAUUUGGCGACCUGCCCAGGCAGGCCCAGCCCCCAGGGUAUUGAGAUGACACAUUCUAAACUCAGGUGACCCGGGCCUUGGGAGUGCACUAGCAACUGGCUGUCAGUCACGGGGCUCUUCAGAUAUUUGUCACGUGAAUGAGCCAGACAGUAAGUGGAGAUGCCCUUCCUAGUCACCUACUGCCGGCGUUCACGCUGUGAACCAGCGAACUAGGCCACCGGCCUGACCCAGUUUUCCCUGUGGCCUGCCAAGCCAAGGAGAAGCAGACGCGGCCGGCGCAGGCGUCCAGGGUGACUCGGAGGCGUGGCUCUGCAGUCGCGGCUCUGCAGUCGCCUUGGAGCGGCUGCCCUUCCGACCCCGCCUGGGCUAUGACUCAUCUUCGGUGGAGGAGAAAGGGGCCUUUGUGAGCGCCCAGCUCCGGCGUCUCCUGGACAGCACCGCCCUCCGGUGGCCGCGAGUCAGGAGGGCUGGGGAAGCCGCCCGAGAGGCAGCGCCCGAGCUCCCCACGAGCUGCUGUGCCAUUGGAAGCGCCAGCGCCCUCCCCUCGGAGUCCAGCCAAGUCGGGGGGAAGACUGGGAGAGAAAUCGUCACCCCCUAGAGGGCAAGUGGGCUCAGCCCUAGGAAAUGCUUGUUUCUCCAGCCCCUCCCAGACGCCCCGGGGAAACGGCAUCCCAGAGCUCCGCUCCCUGGAGGCCCCUCCAGAGAGGGACCCGGGGCCCCGCCCCGCAGCUGGAGAAGGGGUGAAUGCCUUUCCUACCUAACGCCUGGUCCGCGGCCCUGCUUGUUGCGUCUCCAAGACCACGUGUCUGCUGCAUUUUAAAAAUAGUUGUGAACAUCUGACUUUCUCCUUUUGUGAGUUGCCUAUUCAUAUCCUUGGUCUGCUUUUCUAUUUUCUAUUUUUUCUCUUGUUGACGUACAGAAGCACUUUAAAAAUGUCAGUUCUGUCGAAUGUGUUGCAAAUAUUUUUCUAAGCUUAGAAUUUUACCUUCUGAUUUUGUUUUUGGUGAUAUUUGAUACACCACACGACAUUUUGAUGUGGGAUGACCUUUUGAUGUUUUUCUUUUUCUUUCUUUAGUUUUUUAUUUUUGAGUCAGCGCCUCACUCUGUCACCCAGGCUGGAGUACAGUGGCGUGAUCUUGGCUCCCUGCAGUCUCCGCCUCCCGGCUCAAGCCAUCCUCCCACCUUAGCCUCCCUAGUAGCUGGAACCACAGGUGCACACCACUACGCCCGGCUAAUUUUUGUAUCUUUUGUAGAGAGGAGGUCUCGCUAUGUUGCCCAGGCUGGUCUUGAACUCCUGGGCUCAAGCAACCUGCCUGCCUUGGGCCUCCCAAAGUGCUGGGAUUACAGGCUUGAGCCACUACUCCCGGCCUUGAUGUUUUCCUUUAUUCUUUCUCCCUUUUGUUUUUUUUUAAUUGUAAAACUGCUCCCAUCUGAGUAUCACACAGACAUUUCAGAUCUAUAUUUUUUCUUUUCUGCUCCUCUUCCCCCCUUCCCUUCCUCCAUUUCCUCUUACUCCUUCAUUUGGCUUUUAAACCCACCUGGGACUAAUUUUGAUAUAAACUGGAAGAUAAAGAUCUAAACUUAUUUUUUUCUGAAUAGUCAACUUUUCAUAUGUCAUUAUUCAGGCUUUCUCUCUUGUUUGUUUGUUUGUUUGUUUUGAGACAGUCUUGCUUUUGUCUCCCAGGCUGGAGUGCAGUGGCACAAUCUCUGCUCACUGCAACCUCGGCUUCUCAGGUUCAAGCGAGUCUCCUGGCUCAGCCUUCCCAGUAGCUGGGAUUACAGGCGCGUGCCACCAUGCCCGGACUUUGGAGUUUGCUGAAAUGUAACCUCAGAAUAAGUGGGGUAUGACUGCCCUCUCCUUUGAGGGAAAAGAAAAAGUAUUUUCAGGCCAGGCACGGUGGCUCAUGCUUAUAAUCCCAGCACUUUGGGAGGCUGAGGUAGGUGGAUCACUUGGGCUCAAGAGUUUGAGGCCAGCCUAGGUGAAACACUGUCACAACAAAAAAUACAAAAAUUAGCCAGGCAUGGUGGCGCAUGCCUGUGGUCCCAGCUACUUAGGAGGCUGAGGUGGGAGGAUUGCUUGAGCCCAGGAGGUUGAGGCUGCAGUGAUCCAUGAUUUCACCACUGCGUUCCAGCCUGGGCGAUAGGACCAGACUGUGAGUCAAAAAAUAAAAGUAUUUUCAUCCCUCCUUAUUAACAGCGAAAUUGUGACCCAAAGACAAUACUCAUCAAAAUCCAACCAGUUUUUAGUGAUCUGAGAGUUUGUUUUAAAAAAAUAAUCCUGGCCAGGCACGGUGGCUCAUGCCUGUAAUCCCAGCACUUUGGGAGGCUGGGGCAGGCGGAUUACCUGAGGUCAGGAGUUUGAGACCAGCCGGGCAGGCCAACAUGGCAAAACCCCAUCUCUACUAAAAAUACAAAAAUUAGCUGGGCGUGGUGGUACAUGC
rnacentral:lncRNA from 1 species